GCUCAGUUGGUAGAGCGGUGGACUGUAGAUGGUGCAAUUUGAAUGUAGAAAUCCAUAGGUCGCUGGUUCAAAUCCGGCUCGAAGGA
rnacentral:tRNA from 1 species